UCGAAUGAUCCGGCCGAUCCAAAUGGGUACGAAAAAAACUAUAAAAUUCAUUUAUGAAGUAUGACAUACCUACGUAUAAUAAAUAACUAGACCUAUAGCUAUCCUUGCGAGUUUGUUUGAAGCAUUUUACUUAGAAUGCAUAUGAUAUACCAAUUUCCCGGAUGUUAACGUCACAAUAGAAGGAAGAAUUUUUACAUAUGGGAAAUCCCAACUAUAGUUGUGAAAUGAAGGAAUUGAAGGCAGAUCUCUUUGGAUAUACGAGUACCUUCUACCUACAUAGCGUGAUUCGAAUGGCCCAACUUGAAGAAACACGUUUUUGAUGAAAAUGAACUUUCUACACUUAUUUAUAUCUACAGUUUUUGCUAACGAACGUCGGAAAUUUGUACAUAAAUUUGUAUACGAUAAGUGGCACCAUUACAAAACCAAAAUAAGAAUCUUCUAAAAAUUCCAUCUAUAGUUAUGAAAUGAAAUGAAGACGAAAUAAGUCGUGAAUCGAACAGCCCAACUUGAAGAAACACUCAUUCCAGAACAAGAACGUUCUACUUUUAUUUAUCCUACCUACAGUUUUAGCUUACGAAAGUCAACAAUUUGCAAAUUUGAAUUUGCGGUAUAGCAUGAAAAAUUUAAGAAGAAGAAGAACCGUCUUCUACCAAAUAAGAUUUGCUGGUGAUAACAUCUUCAACUAAAGCCGAUUGUACACGGAAACGUUAUAGAAGAAUUGCAUUAAAAUAAACCAUCAAAAAAAGAAAACAUGAAAAUAACAAAUGGAGAGCGGGGAAUAUUUCACCAGGUUUCGGUUACCUAUUGUGAAUUAUUAUUACGAAAUAAAUGAAUACUUACCUAGUUACGUACCUACCUACAAUUUUCUGUUCUCUAAUAAAUUAAACUUGCUGAUAAAGUUCA